AUUGAACGCUGGCGGCAUGCUUUACACAUGCAAGUCGAACGGUAACAGGCCGCAAGGUGCUGACGAGUGGCGAACGGGUGAGUAAUGCAUCGGAACGUGCCCAGUCGUGGGGGAUAACUACUCGAAAGAGUAGCUAAUACCGCAUACGAUCUAUGGGUGAAAGCGGGGGACCGUAAGGCCUCGCGCGAUUGGAGCGGCCGAUGUCAGAUUAGGUAGUUGGUGGGGUAAAGGCUCACCAAGCCAACGAUCUGUAGCUGGUCUGAGAGGACGACCAGCCACACUGGGAAUGAGAAAAGGGCCAGAAUCCCAAGGGAGGCCGGAGGGGGGAAAUUUGGACAAUUGGCGCAAGCCUGAUCCAGCAAUGCCGCGUGCAGGAAGAAGGCCUUCGGGUUGUAAACUGCUUUUGUACGGAACGAAACGGCUCUGGUUAAUACCCGGGGCUAAUGACGGUACCGUAAGAAUAAGCACCGGCUAACUACGUG
rnacentral:rRNA from 1 species